UGCGGCCCGGGCAGGCUCCAGUUUCUGAAACAGAAACAUUAGACUAGAUUCCAUUAAUCGAGGCUUCAGAGUGUGCAUAAAUCAUGAGUACACACAGUUCAUUAAUCCGGCCUGGUAACCAUGUUUCGAGGAAGUGGAUUCAGUAAGUGGGACAGAAGACACAUUGCAAGUACUUUGUUAAGACACCAAGUUACACAACUACAACACCGAACAUUCAACAAACAGGUCCUAUACCACCAGGUUCAGGAACUGUUACUACCAUCCAAUCAUCAGGCUCCUGAACCAGUGUGGAAACUUCACUCACUUCAAUACUGAACUGAUUCCACAACCUAUGGAUUCAAUUUCAAAGACAACUACAACUCUUAUUCUUAGUAUUAUUUAUUGAUUUUUUAUUAUAGUAAUUUUUUUUGCAUUUGUGCAGAUCUUUUGCACAUUGGUCGUUUGUCAGUUUGUGCAGUGUUUCAUUGAUUCUAUUGAAUUUCUCUGCUCUACUGUGAAUGCCUACAAGAAAAUAAAUCUCACGUACUUUGUUGAUGAAUUUAUUUUGAACUUUGCACCAAAAUCUCUUUAUCUUUCAGUAAUUCAUUAUAUCCAACCAUUCAAUGUGUUUAUCCUCACCAUAUUAAUCCUCACAAAAUGCACUACCUCUCAUAAUUAAAUUCCAUCUGCCAUUGCUCUGCCCAUUUAAUAAAAGUUUAUCGAUACACAAGGGGCUACAGAUGCUGUAAUAAGAGAAAAUCAAAGUGCUGGAGGAACUCAAAGUCAGGCAACAUGGACAAGGAUGAUCAAUAUUUGGGGUCGACACCUAAAAUCAGAAGUGAGAGACAAGGUGCAAGAUAGGCAGUAUGAAGAGAUUAGGAUGGGGUAGAGAUGAUGGUGGUGAGACGGGCUGACAGGCGGUACAUGGAACUAAGUGAGGAGGGAGAUAAUUGGGCAAAUAAAACUGGUUGAGGAAGGGUUGGAGUUAAGACAUGCUGGCUGAUGGAUGAUAGGUAGAAAUGGAUAAGGGAAGAGAAAGGGAGAAGGUAAAGUCAAGUCAGGAGUGGAGUGUGGAGUUAAGGGCAGGAACAUGAUGGUGAUAACUGGAAGCUGCAAAUGCUGAAAUCUGAUAAGUAAGGAAGAUGAUGUGGAACCAGACUAGGGCAGAAUGAUAUGCAGGUGCAACCAGUUAGGAAAGAAUAAGAGACCUAUAGGUUAAGUGUUUAGGUGAUAGGCAGAUGGUACUGUAGUGGAGGGGAAGGAAACUGAGUGAUGGGGGAGUGGGGCUGGGAGAAUCUAGGUGUAUCAAAAGGAGCAAGAAAAGAGCAGAAGGACUUCAGGUAUUUGAAAUUGAAAAAUUCUAUGUUUAUAUAAUAAGGCUGUAGAUGACCAGACAUGAGAUGUUGUUCGAAGAUAUACAUCCAGCUCCUUUGAUUUCAUCUGCAGCAUUUAAUGGUCUCGAUGUGGAUUUUUCUGCAUCUGCAAGACCAAAUGUAGACUAAGCGACUGUUUUAUGGAUCAUGUGUGUUGUGUUCACAAUGGACGAUUUGAGUUCCCAUUUGUAUGCCAUUUCAACUUUACUCCCCAUUCCCAUACCGACCUGUCUAUUCUUAGUUUUCUCCACAGCAAGAAUGAGCUAGAUGCAAAGUAGAAGAACGACAGCUCAUCAUAAUCAGCUGAGUUACAUAAUUGCUUUGUACUGCUGAGGAUCUUCACUAACAAGCUGUACUGAAAAAGGAUCUCUCCAGGCAUGGUUUAUUCUGGAGCACUUUGCAAUAUACUAUAGCAGAGAUGUUACUGAACCCUCUUGCCUUUGUUAUGUAUUCAACCAUGUUUUUUUUUUCACAUGGGGUGAAUCAGAUUUGCUGUCGACUAGAUUUUAUGACAGUGAAAGCCUCAGAAGGAGCAUACGUGUCCAAAUCAGGCUGAAGUUUGUUGCAGAUGCUUCAGCUUUUUGCACACAAUUGGUCUUCACUGUUGGAAUGGGUUUGGAAACUUCUCUUUGUGUUAGUUACCUAAUUAUCCACGCUGCCUUCAUGUUGACCAAAGUCUGAGGCUGUACUGUGAUCUGAUUUGCUGGUUGUGAGAUUCUGCUGUUUUUACUCUCAGUAUGCUUGUGGACCUUGUUGUAAUUUGGCCAUCUUUGCACUUCAUUUCUUUGCACAUAUGGUACUAUCCUUCUACAUUCCUAGCUGAAACAGAGGUGAUCGACUGGCCUGAUGGUAACAUCAGAGUAAGGGACGUGUGGCCAGGCAGUGAGGUUACUGGUUGUGGUAUAGCAUUUCUGUCAAAAAUAGUUCGAGCUAUUGGAUCUGUUCUGGUUCAGUCCCAUUUAGCAUGAUGGUACCAAGAAAUGAUAUAUAUUUUUACUACUAAAUUAUAUAAUUAACUGGAUUUAAAUUUCUAAGUUGAAAUUUGAACUUGAGUAUCCAGAUCAUUUGUUUUGUAUUAUUAGAUACUUAGUCCAAUGAUUAAACCACAUACAGUAGUUCCUACUCUCCAAUAUUUAAAACCAUAUUUAUUGAACUGUAAUACAGUAAUGAUUUCUCUCGCAACUACUUUAUACAUUAUGUAUAUGUGUUGUAUGUACUGUUUGUGCACACUUGUCCGGAAGAAUGUUUUUUUUUUGGUGGUAUACAUGUGCACAGUUGAAUGACAAUAA